rnacentral:rRNA from 1 species
CACGUAGGGGCCAAGCGUUGUCCGGAUUUAUUGGGCGUAAAGAGCUCGUAGGCGGUUCGACAAGUCGGGUGUGAAACUCCGGGCUCAACCCGGAGACGCCACCCGAUACUGUCGUGACUGGAGUCCGGUAGGGGAGUGGGGAAUUCCUGGUGUAGCGGUGAAAUGCGCAGAUAUCAGGAGGAACACCAGUGGCGAAGGCG